AGUUUUUUCAUGCUCUUCUGAAUCUUUCCUUAUUAUUAUAAUUCUCGGAUUAAUUGUUUUUUUAAGACUAUAUCAAAUCUAGAUGUUUUUCUUCUUAGUCUGUAUAUAUAAUGUUUUUAUAAUGAUUUUCUUGAUUUUAUAUGUCUGAGGUCUGUGCUGAUCGAGUUCAAAGUCCAAGAGAGAAACUUAUUGUUGGUUCCGUGCUCUUUGAAAAUUGGGGCAUGAGAAAUCAUAGGCCAUUCAGAGAAGAUCUCUACCACAUAAUUAUCUUACUCCGGAUGUGAUGAAUGUUGAUUUCUCUAGAGAAAAAGCAAAAAAUCUAUUGCAGGUUGCAACUAAGACGAACUGGUUAGCUGGUGACGCUACCACUACUGCAAUUGUUUGGCUCAUGAAAUGAUCAAAGCUAUUGUUUGCUGUCAAUUUUGGGGCUAACCCUGUAUCUAUGAUAGUAUGGAGCAGACAGUAAGAAAUCUGGUCAAAACUUUGAAGAUGAAAAGCGAUCUUGUUGGGGGAAAUGAUGAUAUAAAAGGCAACUUCAAUAUCAGCUGGAAGUGAUGAGUACACUGGCAGUUUGAUUGCUGAGGUAAUUAAGAAGAGUGGUCCUGAUGGAGUGAUGUGUCGAGUCGUCUUCAUCUGCUGCAGGAAGAUCAAUUCAUCAAGUUGUGACUUAAAGAGAAGUGGUCAAGGAGAAUUGUAUAACCCAAGCUACAAACCAAAGGAGAAUGGCUUCGGUGUUCCUCAUUACGAAUAUUUCCAUAAGCAUAUGCUAGCAUGUCUUAAAAGUCCUUUCUGAAAGACAAUGUUCAAGUAACAUUAGAAGGGGAGCAAUAUGUUUGGCUGUUGUAGAUAUUAGACGUACAAAGAUUAGAAAAUUUAGAAAGACGAUUGAUUCCAUUACAGUGGACUAACUAAAUUUUGUCAAGAA